UACGUAGGGUGCGAGCGUUGUCCGGAAUUAUUGGGCGUAAAGAGCUCGUAGGCGGUUUGUCGCGUCUGCUGUGAAAACUCGGGGGCUUAACCCCGGGCCUGCAGUGGGUACGGGCAGACUAGAGUGCGGUAGGGGGAGACUGGAAUUCCUGGUGUAGCGGUGGAAUGCGCAGAUAUCAGGAAGAACACCAGUGGCGAAGGCGGCCACCUGGCUCGGUACUGACGCUCAGGUUCGAAAGCGUGGGGAGCAAACAGG
rnacentral:rRNA from 1 species